AGGACGAACGCUGGCGGCGUGCUUAACACAUGCAAGUCGAACGGUGAAAGAGAGCUUGCUCUCUGGAUCAGUGGCGAACGGGUGAGUAACACGUGAGCAAUCUGCCCCUGACUCUGGGAUAACAGUUGGAAACAGCUGCUAAUACCGGAUACGAGCUUCGAAGGCAUCUUCAGAAGCUGGAAAGAACUUCGGUCAGGGAUGAGCUCGCAGCCUAUCAGCUAGUUGGUGAGGUAAUGGCUCACCAAGGCGUCGACGGGUAGCCGGCCUGAGAGGGUGACCGGCCACACUGGGACUGAGACACGGCCAGACUCCUACGGGAGGCAGCAGUGGGAAUAUUGCACAAUGGGCGCAAGCCUGAUGCAGCAACGCCGCGUGAGGACGACGGCCUUCGGUUGUAAACCGUCUUUAGCAGGAAGAAGCGAAAGUGACGGUACUGACAAGAAAAGCGACCGGACUAACUACGUGACCAGCAGCCGCGUAACG
rnacentral:rRNA from 1 species